AUUUUAUUUUGUUGAACUAGAACACAGAUGAUAAGUUACUCUCGAACGGACGUGCGCCUAUCCCUAUCUAUUUAUGUGACUGGUGGUCGAUGGAUCACAUUACACCAGAGCAAUCCUUGUUGUUUAACAUGCCAUAACAGUAAUUGGUUGAUGACAGUGUGCAGCUUGAAUGACUUGCCCUAGCUGGAGGGGACAUAUUGGAAGAUGCCGCGGCAAAUAAUGUGUUGCCAGCUUCUCCGAGUCCUCAUAGUCCUAACAUAUGGUAUACUACGUACGUAUUUCGCGUUAGACGAAGUUAUGCAAUGCCUGUGAGAAGGUGGUCUGCACCAUUCCAU
rnacentral:lncRNA from 1 species